AUCCGUUUAUGAGGAAAUUUCUUGAGUAAUUUCUUGAAUCUUUCCCAUGCCUCAAGUAAGUUUUUUCAUUAGUUUGCUUAAAAAAUGUGAUGUAAUUCGUCU
rfam:Medicago truncatula strain A17 chromosome 1, whole genome shotgun sequence.